rnacentral:rRNA from 1 species
CGGACGGGUGAGUAACACGUGGAUAACCUACCUAUAAGACUGGGAUAACUUCGGGAAACCGGAGCUAAUACCGGAUAAUAUAUUGAACCGCAUGGUUCAAUAGUGAAAGACGGUCUUGCUGUCACUUAUAGAUGGAUCCGCGUCGCAUUAGCUAGUUGGUAAGGUAACGGCUUACCAAGGCAACGAUGCGUAGCCGACCUGAGAGGGUGAUCGGCCACACUGGAACUGAGACACGGUCCAG